UAGGGAAUCUUCGGCAAUGGGGGCAACCCUGACCGAGCAACGCCGCGUGAGUGAAGAAGGUUUUCGGAUCGUAAAGCUCUGUUGUAAGAGAAGAACGUGUGUGAGAGUGGAAAGUUCACACAGUGACGGUAACUUACCAGAAAGGGACGGCUAACUACGUGCCAGCAGCCGCGGUAAUACGUAGGUCCCGAGCGUUGUCCGGAUUUAAUGGGCGUAAAGCGAGCGCAGGCGGUUUAAUAAGUCUGAAGUUAAAGGCAGUGGCUUAACCAUUGUUCGCUUUGGAAACUGUUAAACUUGAGUGCAGAAGGGGAGAGUGGAAUUCCAUGUGUAGCGGUGAAAUGCGUAGUUAUAUGGAGGAACACCGGUGGCGAAAGCGGCUCUCUGGUCUGUAACUGACGCUGAGGCUCGAAAGCGUGGGGAGCAAACAGG
rnacentral:rRNA from 1 species